CACCGAAUCCCUCUCAAACAUACAAGAGAUCAAUGGCUGUUACAAAACAGGAAGCUUACCUUCGGACCUUCGAUGAAGACGACAGCUCAGGGUUUCAGUUGGUGUCUUUGGUAUUCCAGAAGAGUAACUCUGCAAAGCACUUUGGAUGUUCAGAAAUUGGAUUGACCUCUUUGAUGCUAGGUUCGAAAAUGUGAAACUUUGGGGUAGCGGAUGAGGUGAGAUCAGCCAGUUUCUGGUUGAACUUUGAAAGUUGAUCAACUGCAUCAUUGCCAACAAGUGCUUCUCCAACAAAUAAGACCAGGUCGGGAUUGCUAAGAUUAGUUUGCAUCUGUUGGUUAAGGCAACAUGGUGUACUGAAGCAAACGGAGUUGAAAAGAGUGAACUUGCAGCCGGAGUUGAACUAAACAAUGGAGUACUAUCACCGAA